rnacentral:rRNA from 1 species
AUGGCCGAAUAUGAUACUAGUAUUGUUCAAGAUGAAGAUUUAAUUGUUGUAUCGCCAAGAUUGAAAAUAGAUGACACAGAUGCAUUGAAGUAUAUACAUAUUGAUCAGGAAAGUGUGAAGAAUGUACAAGACUCCAUGGAAAUUACUAGUAGGCCUACAGGAGCACUUGUAUGCAUGUGCGUACGGCCAUGCAUGCAUAGGAAACAUGAAGCCUUGGUGAGUCACGUUUGUGGAGAUAUUUUGGGAGGAGUUCAGUUUGAGCCAGCAAAAGAAUCCACAUGCAACAUUGAUCAGUUUCAGUUUGGGCCAGAGAUAAAUGAGUUCAAGUGCAUCCAUGGGAGAUUAGUCAUGUACGCAGCUAACCACAAGCAAGGAGUUAUAAAAAUAUACAAGUUCCAUCUGGUGCGGCCACCUGACAAAGAAGCGUACUCAUGA